GACGAACGCUGGCGGCGUGCUUAACACAUGCAAGUCGAACGGAAAGGCCCUGCUUUUGUGGGGUGCUCGAGUGGCGAACGGGUGAGUAACACGUGAGUAACCUGCCCUUGACUUUGGGAUAACUUCAGGAAACUGGGGCUAAUACCGGAUAGGAGCUCCUGCUGCAUGGUGGGGGUUGGAAAGUUUCGGCGGUUGGGGAUGGACUCGCGGCUUAUCAGCUUGUUGGUGGGGUAGUGGCUUACCAAGGCUUUGACGGGUAGCCGGCCUGAGAGGGUGACCGGCCACAUAGGGACUGAGAUACGGCCCAGACUCCUACGGGAGGCAGCAGUGGGGAAUAUUGCACAAUGGGCGGAAGCCUGAUGCAGCAACGCCGCGUGCGGGAUGACGGCCUUCGGGUUGUAAACCGCUUUCGCCUGUGACGAAGCGUGAGUGGCGGUAAUGGGUAAAGAAGCACCGGCUAACUACGUG
rnacentral:rRNA from 1 species